AUUGAACGCUGGCGGCAUGCCUUACACAUGCAAGUCGAACGGCAGCACGGGGGCGAACCCUCGGUGGCGAGUGGCGGAACGGGUAGGAGUAAUACAUCGGAACGUGUCCUCCUUGUGGGGGAGUAACCAGUCGAAAGAUUGGCUAAUACCGCAUGAGAUCGCAAGAUGAAAGCGGGGGACCGCAAGGCCUCGCGCGAGAGGAGCGGCCGAUGUCGGAUUAGCUAGNGGGUGGGGUAAAGCCUACCAAGGCGACGAUCCGUAGCUGGUCUGAGAGGACGGACCAGCCACACUGGGACUGAGACACGGCCC
rnacentral:rRNA from 1 species